GGCAUAUUGGAAUCAAAAGUAGAACUACAAAACCGUUGAAGGCCUAGCUGUUGAACUCCGGUGGAGAAACGAAGACGGAAGCAUCCAGGUGGAGGAGCCAGACCAGGUGUACCUGCUAAUGAAGGAGGAAUACCGUAUCUCACGCAACGUACGUCUGGUCUGGUUCCUGGGCAAGCUCAAUCGGGUCAUUGGCCGGUCCCAAAGUCUAAACUAGUGGGUUAACUAGCUCUACUGGAGGAGAUGUAGCUAGACUUUUGUGCUGUCGCUCCAAUGAUAACGACUAUUAAGUGUUGGCAAAACAGCGUAAACAGAUCUGCGACCAGCCCAGAAAUCAUGUAGUAACCAAAAAGUGUUAAACAAAUCAGAAUAUAUUUUAUGAGAUUCUUCAAAGUAGCCACACUUUGCCUUGAUGACAGCUUUUCACACUCUUGGCAUUCUCUCAGCCAGCUUCACCUGGAAUGCUUUUCCAACAAUCUUGAAUUGUUCCCACAUAUGCUGAGCACUUGGCUGCUUUUUCUUCACUGCGGUCCAACUCGCCCCAAACCAUCUCAAUUGGGUUGAGGUCGGGUGAUUGUGGAGGCCAGGUCAUCUGAUGCAGCACUCCAUCACUCAUUCUUGGUAAAAUAGCCCUUACACAGCCUGGAGGUGUGUUUUGUCAUUUUCCUGUUGAAAAAGAAAUGAUAGUCACACUCAGCGCAAACCAGAUGGGAUGGCGGAUCGCUUCAGAAUGCUGUGGUAGCCAUGCAGGAUAUGUGUGCCUUGAAUUCUAAAUAAAUCACAUACAGUGUCACUAGCAAAUCACCAUCACACCUCCUCCUCCAUGCUUCACGGUGUGAACUGGACAUGCGGAGAUCAUCCGUUCAUCUACUCUGUGUCUCACAAAGACACAGCGGUUGCAACCAAAAAUCAAACAUUUGGACUGGUCUAAUGUCCAUUGCUCAUGUUUCUUGGCCCAAGAAAGUCUCUUUUUCUUAUUGGUGUCCUUUAGUAGUGGUUUCUUUGCAGCAAUUCGACCAUGAAGGCCUGAUUCACAGUCUCCUCUGAACAGUUGAUGUUGAGAUGUCUGUUACUUGAACUCUGAAGCAUUUAUUUGUGACUGCACUUGAAUAAACUUUUAAAGUUC